rnacentral:rRNA from 1 species
GAUGAACGCUGGCGGCGUGCCUAAUACAUGCAAGUCGAGCGAACAGACGAGGAGCUUGCUCCUCUGACGUUAGCGGCGGACGGGUGAGUAACACGUGGAUAACCUACCUAUAAGACUGGGAUAACUUCGGGAAACCGGAGCUAAUACCGGAUAAUAUAUUGAACCGCAUGGUUCAAUAGUGAAAGACGGUUUUGCUGUCACUUAUAGAUGGAUCCGCGCCGCAUUAGCUAGUUGGUAAGGUAACGGCUUACCAAGGCAACGAUGCGUAGCCGACCUGAGAGGGGGAUCGGCCACACGGGAACUGAGACACGGUCCAGACUCCUACGGGAGGCAGCAGUAGGGAAUCUUCCGCAAUGGGCGAAAGCCUGACGGAGCAACGCCGCGUGAGUGAUGAAGGUCUUCGGAUCGUAAAACUCUGUGAUAAGGGAAGAACAAAUGUGUAAGUAACUAUGCACGUCUUGACGGUACCUAAUCAGAAAGCCACGGCUAACUACGUG